GAUGAAGAACGUAGCGAAAUGCGAUAAGUAAUGCGAAUUGCAGAAUCCGUGAGUCAUCGAAUCUUUGAACGCACAUUGCGCCCUCUGGUAUUCCGGAGGGCAUGCCUGUUCGAGCGUCAUUAUCACCCCUCAAGCCCGGCUUGUUGUUGGAUGCAGCGCUUAUCCCGCUCCUCCCAAAGAUAAUGACGGCGUCUGCGACGACUCCUGUACACUGAGCUUUCGGGCACGUACACGGCUAGAAGUCCAGACCCGGUCGCCGCCCCCCCCGCGGGGACACCCAUUACCACAAGGUUGACCUCGGAUCAGGUAGGAAUACCCGCUGAACUUAAGCAUAUCAAUAAGCGGAGG
rnacentral:misc_RNA from 1 species